rnacentral:lncRNA from 1 species
GUGUGGGAUUUGGGGGGUUGGACCUCAUUAAUUAUAUAUAUGAGCAUGGUUGCGAGAGGGGCGGGGGUUUGGACAUUUAGUUGCCCAUUUUGUGCCUAAAAGCCGAUUGUUUGUUACCCCUUAGCUAGUUUCCCAAAAGUUUACCCGACUUAACCCGGUCUUAUAAUGUUAGUAGUUGUUUUAUUAGUAUGUAGACAUGUUAUGGUAUUAUGAAAAAAAAAAGUGAUGUUGAGUUGUCUUGUAUAUAGAAGUUAUGUCAUGUUUUGUUGUUUGUUUCAUUGUGUAAUAAAAGACCGGGUUAAGUCCUUCGCUACUACAUAUAUAUUCCUUUUCUUACCCUUGCACCUAGCCCCGUUAUAACCAUAAAUUCCCUUGAUUCAUGAGCAUGUUAAAUAUUCGUUAGGAGGAAACUUGAUUCUCAUACAAGCUUAUUGUCGCACACACACACAUAUACGCAUUGAGUGGUUUAGCAUAAUUUGCUAAUUUUUCUUGUCACCGAGAGUUUUGUGAGGGGUGUGUCUUGUGGUUUGAUAAAAAGCUAGUAAAAGGACGGCACUUUGGUUUGGUUUGCACGAUUGGUCGCUUAUGGUUAAAAAUAGUUUUUGAAGUGGUUGCUUGGGACAAGCAACGGGUAAGUGUGGGGAUGUGACGGGUGGUCCGUAGGACAACCCUUAAAAGGCUUAACAUAACGCACAUUCUACAUUUUAUCCGGUUAUUUGCAUGAAUUAGGUAAUCACAAGAUGAUGAUGAUGCAGGUGUUAAAGUGUGCAAGAUGCGGGUUUUAGGAAGCUUGAACGGAUGCUAGAAGCUGGCAUGAUCAAGAUGUGUGGGAACCAAGAGAAAUAAAGGAAACUGGAGCAAAAGACCAUUCAGCGCCGUAACCUACGGUCACUGCCGUAGGCUACGGCCCCUUGACAAAUGCCAAACUUGAUCGCCGUAAGACAGGAAGCGCCUGCCGUAAAAGACCAAUGAUCACCGUAAGCUACGGCGACUGGCCGUAUCUUACGGUGCUGGGUGAAUUGUUUUUGUUCGCUGGUUGCCGUAAGCUACGGCAGGCGGCGUAGCUUACGGCGCCGACUGAACCAACCUUGUAACUCCCGCAUUGAUUGGUCAUUUUAUGGAGCAUUAUGGAGUUCAAUGAUGUGUUUUUCAGUUACCACUUGGAAGAAACGAAUUUGGGACUAUAAUUAGGGAGUUGGAGUGGAAAGAAUCUAUCUUAUCUUCUAUCCUUUGAUCACCUAUCAAACAAUCUUUAGCUUUUCAUUAGUUUUUGUUGGUGGAACUUGUGAACACUGUUUUUCUUUCCAUUUUGUCAUGAUGUUAGCUAAAGCCAUGAGUGGCUAGAUACUUUGAUGAUUAUCUUAAUAACAAUUCCUUUUCAUUUGAAUUGA